GAUGAACGCUGGCGGCGUGCCUAAUACAUGCAAGUCGAGCGAACGGACGAGACGCUUGCUUCUCUGAUGUUAGCGGCGGACGGGUGAGUAACACGUGGAUAACCUACCUAUAAGACUGGUAUAACUUCGGGAAACCGGAGCUAAUACCGGAUAAUAUUUUGAACCGCAUGGUUCAAAAGUGAAAGACGGUCUUGCUGUCACUUAUAGAUGGAUCUGCGCUGCAUUAGCUAGUUGGUAAGGUAACGGCUUACCAAGGCAACGAUGCAUAGCCGACCUGAGAGGGUGGUAGGCCACCUGGGAGGGGAGACGGCGUCCAGACUACUAAGAGAGGCAGCAGUAGGGAAUCGUACGCAAUGGGCGAGAGCCUUACGGAGCAGCGGCGCGCGAGUGGUGAAAGUCUUGGGAGCGUAAUAAUCGGUUUUGAGUGAAAAACAGAUGUGUAAGUAACUGUGCACAUCUUGACGGUAACUAAUCAGAAAGCCACGGCUAACUACGUG
rnacentral:rRNA from 1 species